UGCCCGCGCCGCGGGCGCCGCCCCAACGGCCGCUUCUAGCAGCUUCGGCGGCGCGGCCGGGCCCGCGCGUGGCCCUCCUCUGCCUCCCCCCCCGCCGAGGCGAUGGCUUUAGCGUGCCUAAGCCGGUAAACGCCAGGCUUACAGCCGCCUCCUGAUUCUCCGUUUUUCUCGUUUACUGCCCUUUUCGCUGUUCCGCGCGAGGCAUGAGAAGGGCGGUCACUGAAAAGGCUAAGAACCUGAUGGGAAGGCUCUCCUCAGUCCCAGAGCUGAAUAUUAUUUUCCGGCUUAGAUGUUGGCAUUGUGGAAUGGAAAACAAUGAUUUCUUCAGUAUUUUUCAUGCAUACUCAAGUGAAUGUGGCAGGCUGUCACCUCUGUAUUCCCCUACUGGUUUCCCUGUUCUUUUGUGAUGGGACACUAUCACAAUACAUAUUUAAGCUGUGUUUCUUCUUUCUGGUAUCAAGAAUACUGCAGAAGAUGGAGGCAAGGACACUAGAAAUCUUUGCUAAUGAACGAAAUUUGUAUACAAGUAUAACAAAAUAUGUUCAGCAGAACCACUAUUUCAACAUGAUCAGCUUGGCAUCUCUUCUUCCUGAUUUAAUUUCACAUUUGAACUGCAGACAUACUCAGAGAAAUGCAUGAAUAUAAAGUAAUAACUUUGUUCAAUUUACGAAAUAUUGCAAGCCCCACUCCUGAAAUGUGUUUGCUCUUGGUGCCCUAUUUUGAGAGUGUACAAUCAUUUAUGAGUGAAAAUAAAAUAAUUUGCAUAAUGUAAAA